rnacentral:rRNA from 1 species
CCUACGGGGCGCAGCAGGGGCGAAAACUUUACAAUGCGGGAAACCGUGAUAAGGGGACACCGAGUGUCAGCAUCAUAUGCUGGCUGUCCAGGUGUGUAAAAUACACCUGUUAGCAAGGGCCGGGCAAGACCGGUGCCAGCCGCCGCGGUAACACCGGCGGCCCGAGUGGUGAUCGUGAUUAUUGGGUCUAAAGGGUCCGUAGCCGGUUUGGUCAGUCCUCCGGGAAAUCUGAUAGCUCAACUAUUAGGCUAUCGGGGGAUACUGCCAGGCUUGGAACCGGGAGAGGUAAGAGGUACUACAGGGGUAGGAGUGAAAUCUUGUAAUCCCUGUGGGACCACCUGUGGCGAAGGCGUCUUACCAGAACGGGUUCGACGGUGAGGGACGAAAGCUGGGGGCACGAACCGGAUUAGAUACCCGGGUAGUCCCAGCCGUAAACGAUGCUCGCUAGGUGUCAGGCAUGGCGCGACCGUGUCUGGUGCCGCAGGGAAGCCGUGAAGCGAGCCACCUGGGAAGUACGGCCGCAAGGCUGAAACUUAAAGGAAUUGCGGGGGAGCACAA